rnacentral:lncRNA from 1 species
UUUUUUUUUUCCCCCCUUCAAUUACCUGGGAGGAACCGCAGAUCCUCCUGUCCUGAAGGGAGUUCCUCCUAGGUCUGGUCAGACCUUUGUAUGGUAAUUAAGAUUUAGAACCCCUGUUAGGAAAUCUGCUGGGUUAAGGGACUUUUCAGUGGUUAAUGUUAAAUCAUCCUUUGUUUUUUGUUUUGUUUUGUUUUUUCCUUAGGAUACUUCUGAACUGGUGAGGUGUGCUCACAAUGAGGUUUCCUCUAAAAGUUUUUUUUUUUUUUUAACUUUUUUCUGUUAGCAAAGCAGUUGCCGCUGCAGAUUGAAUGCAUUUAGGCCAUCUGCGGGUUACUAGGUUAAGGAUUUUUGAUAGGAAGGCCUCAGUGCUUUCGGAUACACCCUUGUUUACACUGACAGCAAAGUGGUAUUGGAGUGUUACAGGGUUAUGGAGAAUACCUUCAAUUAUCAAUUAUAGGUUUUAAAUUUAUCUUGGCUUUUAAAGGAAUAGGGUACACUUUUUUUUUUAACUACUUGUAUAUUUCUUUCUUUCUUUCUCUUCUUUGAUUUUCUGUCUCUUUUUCUCUUUGACUUUCCUUUUGCCUCUGUCUCUUUCUCUCUCUCUGCCUCUCUUUCUCUCUCUCUUUCCUUGACUCCCUUGUUGUCUCUCUGUCUCUUCCUCUUUCUCUCUCUGCUGGUCUUUCCUUGCCUCUGCCAGCCACUUAUGCUGCUAUUCUCUCAACCACUGGGGAGGUGAGGGCUGUCUAAAACCAGCUGUAACCAAGUGUCUAUGUAUGGGAACUGGUCUAGGUGCCCUGGCUUACAGGUUACCUUGUGCCAUACCUUUGAAACAAGGGACCUAUCCAGGCUUCCUCUAAUGCUGGCCAGUCUAUCUUACACAAAGCUUUAAGUUUUCCUGGGGUCAUAGUACUCCAUAGUCUCCUUUAAAUCCUUUCUUGAAAUUUUUCAACAUAGUUCCUAGUGGGGUAGGCUCACCUUGUGCCUGACCCAUGCUUCUUCGAGACAAAACACCACGCUCACACCACACACACACCAUAAAACAAAGAAUGGGUAAAAGGGGCACACACACACACUUUCACAGUUUAUGCCAAACUAGAAUCAAAACCAAAAUCAGAGUAUCAAGAAAUCCAAGCCAGGUCAAAACCAAAACCAAAGUAUCAAGCAAUCCAAGUCAAGUGAAAAACAAAAACCAAAGUUCCAGUAUAGGCAUGUCAUGGGUGAUCAGGCCAUGCUUCCACUCAAAUGGAGUGGGCAAGUUCCAAAGACCAGUCUUACCAAGUUUCAGAUGUCCAGACUCCAAGUGCCAGUUCCUUCCUGGCGUUCAGCCACUGUGUUGAUCCUUCAUGGGGGCCUGCCACGCACUGCUCUGGCAAGGCGUUCCACCGGGGCAAUUGCCUACCCUAGCACGCUCUCAGGAUCUGCGUCGCUCAAUCCGGAGUCCCCCGCAGGGAUGCUCCACAAGGCAGGCCUAAGCCACCUAAGGGGCUGCCUUGACUGUCUAUUAUAAUCACCUCACUUUCCGAUCAGGGAACCAAGAAAUGUAGCAGGACAAGUCACAGACAAAACCCCUCAGACACGGAGUUAAAGAAGGAAGGGCUUUAUUCAGCCGGGAGCUUCAGCAAGACUCAUGCCUCCAACAACCAAGCUCCCUGAAUGAGCAAUUCCCGUCCCUUUUUAGAGCUCACAACUCUAAGGGGGUCCGUGAGAGGGUUGUGAUCAAUUGAGCAAGCAGCGGGUACAUGAUGGGGGGCUGCAUGCACU